rnacentral:rRNA from 1 species
GUGCCAGCCGCCGCGGUACUACCGGCAGCCCAAGUGAUGGCCGCUGUUAUUGGGCCUAAAGCGUCCGUAGCUGGCCGCGCAAGUCCGUCGGGAAAUCCAUCAGCCCAACUGAUGGGCGUCCGGCGGAAACUGCACGGCUUGGGACCGGAAGGCUCGAGAGGUACGUCCGGGGUAGGAGUGAAAUCCCAUAAUCCCGCACGGACCACCGAUGGCGAAAGCACCUCGAGAGGACGGACCCGACAGUGAGGGACGAAAGCCAGGGUCUCGAACCGGAUUAGAUACCCGUGUAGUCC